CGGACGGGUGAGUAACGCGUGAGAAUCUGGCUUCAGGUCUGGGACAACCACUGGAAACGGUGGCUAAUACCGGAUGUGCCCUUCGGGGUGAAAGGUUAACUGCCUGAAGAUGAGCUCGCGUCUGAUUAGCUAGUUGGAAGUGUAAUGGACUCCCAAGGCGACGAUCAGUAGCUGGUCUGAGAGGACGAUCAGCCACACUGGGACUGAGACACGGCCCAGACUCCUACGGGAGGCAGCAGUGGGGAAUUUUCCGCAAUGGGCGAAAGCCUGACGGAGCAAUACCGCGUGAGGGAGGAAGGCUCUUGGGUCGUAAACCUCUUUUCUCAGGGAAGAACACAAUGACGGUACCUGAGGAAUAAGCAUCGGCUAACUCCGUGCCAGCAGCCGCGGUAAUACGGAGGAUGCAAGCGUUAUCCGGAAUGAUUGGGCGUAAAGCGUCCGCAGGUGGCAAUGUAAGUCUGCUGUUAAAGAGUCUAGCUCAACUAGAUAAGAGCAGUGGAAACUACAUAGCUAGAGUACGUUCGGGGCAGAGGGAAUUCCUGGUGUAGCGGUGAAAUGCGUAGAGAUCAGGAAGAACACCAGUGGCGAAGGCGCUCUGCUAGGCCGUAACUGACACUGAGGGACGAAAGCUAGGGGAGCGAAUGGGAUUAGAUACCCCAGUAGUC
rnacentral:rRNA from 1 species